ACCCCAUUGCUUUCCUUCUGUGUUUGAAGCAAGUUCUGAUUGGAAUGGAAAGUGUGACUUCUGAGGCUCGUGGUGCCCAUGCUUACUCAUUCCUAGAGGUAACCUGCUUACCUCACGCUGAGUCUCACUGAAGCCUCCCUCAUCAUUUCUCCUCUGGAAUUGUGUCCUCCUGGAGCAUGUAGAGCCCACGUGUGAAUGGGGCAACAAGGAACAGCAGAUGCACACCAUUACUCCUUUGUCCAAUCAGAUGCCACUUACGAAACACAAGUUCAAAGAUAAAGUUAUUGAGAAUUUCAAGAAAAUAAUAGUAACAGAGCACUGAACUAAAUGUGAAGCCCCCUUGAGCAUAGUUAUAUCUGUAUACAUUUCGUUAAUGUGUGGAUACAUUUCUCACAAUUCAGCAAACUUAAAAUCUGUGCAACUUGUUAUGUGUAAGUUGUAAGUAAAUAAAAAAUAAAAUGACCAAAAAAAAAUGACAUCCCCCUCCCAGUUUUCUCCUAAGUGUAAAACUACAGAAGAAUUUUAUAUUUUGAUUUAAUUUUUCUGGUGACUAAUCAUGUACCGAACAAAAUCAAAUUGAUUAAAUAAUCAAUAGAUUACUAAAUUGAUCAGUUACCAGCUUCCUCUUCCAUUUCCCCCCAGCUCUGUGACCUACUUCAAUAGUUGAAAAUAGCAAAACUAUUACACAGUAACAGAAGUCCAACAAAUUGCUCAGUGCUUCUACAUGUUGUCUAUAGGAGGAGAUCCUGAGGGGAGGUGUAUGUGUAUAGCUGAAGAUGUUUCUCCUCUUGUUCUGAAUCAUUAUUUUGAUCUUUCACUGAAUGGUUCAUACUGUGGGCCCUCUGGGACUUAAUUCAACAAGACCGAAUCCGAAAACAUCAUUCUCCUCUUUAAACCAGCUCUUCCUUUUCUCUUAAUUCAAUUUUAUCAUCCUUUCAACCACCAUAAGAUUUUGUCCACCAAGGGCCUCAAGAAUCCACUAGUCUCUUCUCCAGCAUCCUCUACCCUCCUCUCCUAGGCCCUCCUUUCCCUCUGACGUGCAAUAGCACACCACUUCUCUUCCCUGCCUUAAUUUCUGCCCUUUUUACUGCAUCGUGUGGAGUCCCCCAGCCAAAUGCAUCUCCAUAAGAUGCCGUUUUGAAUCUAUAAUUUUUAAAAAAGAUUUUAUUUAUUUAUUCAUGAGAGACACAGUGAGAGUGAGAAGCAGGUUUCCUGUGGGGAUUGCCAUGGGGGACUCGAUCUCAGGAUCCCAGGAUCAUGACCUGGACCGAAGGCAGAUGCUCAACCACUGAGCCACCGGAUGUUCCUUGAAUCUAUAACUUUUAAAGAACUCAGCUAAGAUAAUGAAUCUUUCAGAGGAAGACUGAUCAUGUGAAGGAACAAGCAGUCCCUGGUGCUCACUCUCAGUUGCCUCGGAUGAAUUUAUUACAGAGGUGGAGUUGGAGAAUCAUCGUCACCUAGGGCUCUCAGCGUCAACAUUCUUCAUGAUAUUGUCAGCCCAUUUUGAUACAGGGAAUUAGAGCUGCAAGAUCCUUUUGUGUCUUUCUGACCCCAAAGAAAUAUGCAUUCCUAACCUUUACUCCAAAAAUAGUCUUUUAUGGCCAUUUUAUUUUUUAACAUUAUGGACUGUAUAAAAAAUCAUGAAAUUAUAAUGUGUAAUACACCAGAGGGGAUCUGGAGACAUUUGUAUCAUGUUCAGUGAAAAGAUCCAUUACAUUUACUUUAUAUAAUUGUAUACUUUGUAAAUAUUAGAUAUUGAGUGUGCUUAAAAUGUUCAAAUAAAAUCCUUCAGUUUUUUUUUUUUUUAAGAUUU
rnacentral:lncRNA from 12 species